rnacentral:rRNA from 1 species
AUGACGGUACCGGAAGAGGAAGCCCGGGCUAACUUCGUGCCAGCAGCCGCGGUAAUCAGAGGCGGCAAGCGUUGUUCGGAAUUAUUGGGCGUAAAGGGCGCGUAGGCGGCUUGGCAAGUCAGUUGUGAAAGUCUUCGGGCUCAACGGAAGAACGGCAUCUGAUACUACAGGGCUUGAGUAUGGGAGAGGUGAGUGGAAUUCCGGUGUAGCGGUGAAAUGCGUAGAUAUCAGAAGGAA